rnacentral:rRNA from 1 species
UGGGGAAUAUUGGACAAUGGGCGAAAGCCUGAUCCAGCCAUGCCGCGUGUGUGAAGAAGGUCUUCGGCUUGUAAAGCACUUUAAGUUGGGAGGAAGGGCAGUAAGCGAAUACCUUGCUGUUUUGACGUUACCGACAGAAUAAGCACCGGCUAACUCUGUGCCAGCAGCCGCGGUAAUACAGAGGGUGCAAGCGUUAAUCGGAAUUACUGGGCGUAAAGCGCGCGUAGGUGGUUCGUUAAGUUGAAUGUGAAAGCCCCGGGCUCAACCUGGGAACUGCAUCCAAAACUGGCGAGCUAGAGUAGGGCAGAGGGUGGUGGAAUUUCCUGUGUAGCGGUGAAAUGCGUAGAUAUAGGAAGGAACACCAGUGGCGAAGGCGACCACCUGGGCUCAUACUGACACUGAGGUGCGAAAGCGUGGGGAGCAAACAGG